CUCCAGCAAAUGACCCAUCGUUUUCCACCAGUGUCUCUAUUUCUAUGUAAAAUUAUAGAUUAAAUGCCAAGUCCUCUGCCUCCACCUGUCCGGGCUUUUAUUGGCUCUUGUCAAAAUCAAAUUGGAAGAUCUUCAGUCCCAGCUGCACCCAACGUGGAAAAGUAUUCCAGGUCCAUCCCAAAGGAACCAACACCGAUGACAUGGACUCAGGAAUCUUAUAACCUACGUGGACUCUUUCCAUCCAUACAUUCUCGUGCACGUGCCACUCAUCACCUGGCGUGCCCAGAUCCUCGCAGGGCAACACCCUGUGAUAAUUCCAGGUGAUUCUCUACAUCUGCAGCUUGAGCAUCUGCAGUGGCCAUAGCAGAGCCAGACAGCAGGAGCUGGGCCCUGGACGACUCCACG
rnacentral:sRNA from 1 species